CACAACAUGUCUGACUUCCGUUCGAAACGCCAUUGUGUUCCGGAUUGAUAACAUUAUGUCGUGGUACAAAAUAGCUAUACACCGUUUAAUUGAACUCUUCUAACUAAGGAGAUGAGAUAGGAAUUGAAUCAUCAAAACGCUUAGAAAAUAUGUCAAUUUUCUUCCUGUUUAAAGCUUUUCACUAACAUUGAUUAUCAGCUGUUUUGUACGGAAAACGUGGAAUCUAAAUAAUAUACCGUUUCCCUGCUCUGCUGCUAUUGGCAAUACAUUUUUGUCAUGUCAUCUGCAACAGACGAUCAUACAUAUGUGGCAGAUUAUCGAUAUAGCUAGGUAGCAAUAGCAGUGGAAGCCCGGAUUUGCAAGCCAAAUGAGGGAAAGACAGAAUUCUGAAAAGGAGCAUGUUUUUCAUUUCCACACACGCAUGUGUAUCACUAUGGACAUCUAAUGUUUUUGUGGGAAUUUGUCCAGCAGUUUGCCUUAAAAGAAUUUUUUUAUAUUUUAGUUUCAUAUUUAUGUGGAUUCCAAUAAAAAUCAUACCAACUUCA